GAUUUAACAGUUCCUCCUUGUUUUCCAAUCAAACUUCCAGCUUGUGAGGCUGGCACCAGCAACCUUGUUGAAACCUUGGUUCCUGUGCCUGAGGGAACAUGAGAAGAAGAACAUGAGAAGAAUCACCGUCCAAUCCGUCGACAAUUCGUUUAUGAACCCUCAAAAGCCCAUCCAUGGCAGGAGGAAGAGAAGAAUCAGGUUCCUCCUUGGCAGAUACCAUAACAGCUCUUUCUGUUGUCCCAGGAGGACCAUCAAGUAUCUUAAUGCGAGCUCUUGUCUCCUCAACAAUUUUUUUAAUGAACUCCCCUUUGCGUCCAAUUAUACUGCCAACUUUUUGUGCAGGAACCAACAUCCGGAACACACUCUCUCCAGGCCAUCCAGGCCACUUCUUUUCACCACCUCCCGCAACUGUAUCCUCAUCAUGUCCUUGUUUUUCUUGAGCAUGAAAAUUCUCAGGCACCUGAUCUUCUGCAUGGUCUAUAUUAUGUUCUACAGCAUGAUCCACAUUCUGAUCUAUAGCAUGAUCAACAUUAUGCUCACCCAAACCAUCUGUAGCAAGAUCCAAGCCCUGAUCAACAGCAUGCUCCAAGCUCUGAUCAACAGGAUGAUUCACACCAUGAUCAACGGCAUGAUCCAGGCCGUGAUCUACACCAGGAUCCACAGCAUGAUCCAAGCCAUGA
rnacentral:misc_RNA from 1 species